UUGACCUCAAAUCGGGUGAGACUACCCGCUGAAACUUAAGCAUAUCAAUAAGCG
rnacentral:rRNA from 1 species